AGAGUUUGAUCAUGGCUCAGAAUCAACGCUGGCGGCGUGCCUAACACAUGCAAGUCGAACGCGAAAGGGGCUUCGGCCCUGAGUAGAGUGGCGAACGGGUGAGUAACGCGUGGGUAACCUACCUUUGAGCGGGGGAUAACACCUCGAAAGGGGUGCUAAUACCGCAUCACAUUCUCCGGUCGAGAGAUCGGAGAAUCAAAGCCGGGGAUCGCAAGACCUGGCGCUUGAAGAGGGGCCCGCGUCCGAUUAGCUGGUUGGUAGGGUAAUGGCCUACCAAGGCGACGAUCGGUAGCCGGCCUGAGAGGGCGGACGGCCACACUGGGACUGAGACACGGCCCAGACUCCUACGGGAGGCAGCAGUGGGGAAUUGUUCGCAAUGGGCGCAAGCCUGACGACGCAACGCCGCGUGGAGGACGAAGAUCUUCGGGUCGUAAACUCCUGUCGAGCGGGACGAAUGGCCCGCGGGUGAAUAGCCUGCGGGAGUGACGGUACCGCGAGAGGAAGCCCCGGCUAACUCCGUGCCAGCAGCCGCGGUAAUACGGGGGGGGCAAGCGUUGUUCGGAAUUACUGGGCGUAAAGGGCUCGUAGGCGGCCAACUAAGUCAGACGUGAAAUCCCUCGGCUCAACCGGGGAACUGCGUCUGAUACUGGAUGGCUUGAAUCCGGGAGAGGGAUGUGGAAUUCCAGGUGUAGCGGUGAAAUGCGUAGAUAUCUGGAGGAACACCGGUGGCGAAGGCGGCUUUCUGGCUCAUUCCUGACGCUGAGGAGCGAAAGCGUGGGUAGCGAACGGGAUUAGAUACCCCCGUAGUCC
rnacentral:rRNA from 1 species